ACCAGCAGCCAUAUCACCCUGCAACUCAGAACUGGCAACUGGCAACUGACUGAAGCUAAGCAGGUAUGAGCCUCAUCAGUACCUGGAUGGGAGACCUCCUGGGAAAAACUAAGGUUGCCGCUGGAA
rnacentral:rRNA from 1 species